rnacentral:rRNA from 1 species
GAGUUUGAUCAUGGCUCAGAUUGAACGCUGGCGGCAGGCCUAACACAUGCAAGUCGAGCGGAUGAAGGGAGCUUGCUCCUGGAUUCAGCGGCGGACGGGUGAGUAAUGCCUAGGAAUCUGCCUGGUAGUGGGGGAUAACGUCCGGAAACGGGCGCUAAUACCGCAUACGUCCUGAGGGAGAAAGUGGGGGAUCUUCGGACCUCACGCUAUCAGAUGAGCCUAGGUCGGAUUAGCUAGUUGGUGGGUAAAGGCCUACCAAGGCGACGAUCCGUAACUGGUCUGAGAGGAUGAUCAGUCACACUGGAACUGAGACACGGUCCAGACUCCUACGGGAGGCAGCAGUGGGGAAUAUUGGACAAUGGGCGAAAGCCUGAUCCAGCCAUGCCGCGUGUGUGAAGAAGGUCUUCGGAUUGUAAAGCACUUUAAGUUGGGAGGAAGGGCAGUAAGUUAAUACCUUGCUGUUUUGACGUUACCAACAGAAUAAGCACCGGCUAACUUCGUGCCAGCAGCCGACGG